rnacentral:lncRNA from 7 species
GUCGUCGGAGAUGGAGAGGCGGCUGAAGAUGGGUAGGCGACGGCCAGGGUCCAGGCUGGGGGACUCGGAGCCGCUGAGGCUGCCGGAGCUCAGCGAGCCGCUCAGAUGUUCCGUGAGAUAUGAAACCACCCCAUCUUAUAGAUGCUGAAACUGACACCACAGAAUGAUGCCAACUAAGUCAGAAGGGAAGUGACUUCUGACUGCAGUCUGACAAUACAUGAAAGACCCUAACACUCUGAGUGACCGCCACAGUGACCCGGCCGGGCAGUACUCACACUGAGGGUCAGAGGUGAUGAGGUUUAUGAGACUGAAGUACCAGUGUGACCUGACCUAAGCCUGCAAGGCUCAUUAUGGCUCACAAGGGA